CCGUCUUUCGGAACAGCCAAUAAAAUUGAAACGAUACAGAAAAGAUUAGCAUGGUGCCUGUGCAAGGAUGACAUGCACAAAUCGAGAACUUGUCCAAAUUUCU